rnacentral:rRNA from 1 species
GGAAAGUGCCUUCGGGUCAGCAACAGUGAGGAGCCCGCGUCCGAUUAGCUGGAUUGGUGAGGUAAUGGCUCACCUAAGGCGACUAUCGGUAUCCGGUCUGAGAGGACGUACGGUCACACUGGGACUGCGACACGGGCCAUACUCCUACGGGAGGCAGCAGUGGGGAAUUUUGGGCACAUGGGGGCAACCCUGACCCAGCAACGCCUGCGUGGAGGAAGAAGAGUUUGCGAAUCGCACACUCCUGUCCCACGAGAAGAAGCUCGUGACGGUAUCGUGCGAGGAAGCCCCGGCUAACUCCGUGCCAGCAGCCGCGGUAAUACGGGGGGGGCAAGCGUUGUUCGGAAUUACUGGGCGUAAAGGGCGCGCAGGCGGUUUCGGAAGUCAAUGGUGAAAGCCCCGAGCUCAACUCGGGAAUUGCCUUUGAAACCACGGAACUGGAGUGCUGGAGAGGAAAGCGGAAUUUCCAGUGUAGCGGUGAAAUGCGUAGAUAUUGGAAGGAACAUCUGAGGCGAAGGCGGCUUUCUGGACAGACACUGACGCUGAGUGACGCGAAAUGCCAGGGUGAGCGAACGGGAUUAGAUACCCCGGUAGUCCUGGCUGUCAACUACUGAACACUUUGGUCUGGGGGGUAUCCAGUCCUUCCGUGUCGAAGAUAACUCGACUAAGUCUUCCGCCUGGGGAGUACGUCCGCAAGGCUGAUACUCAAAGGAAUUGACGGGGACCCGCACAAGCGAUGGAGCAUGUGGUUUAAUUCGACGCGACGCGAAGAACCUUACCGGGCUUUGAACUGUACCGGCGACAUCCAGAGAUGGAUGGUUUCCUUCGGGUACUGGUAUAGAGGUGCUGCAUGGCAGUCGUCAGCUCGUGUCGUGAGAUGUUGGGUUAAGUCCCGCAACGAGCGCAACCUUUGUCUGUAGUUGCCAUCAGGUUAAGCUGGGCACUCUACCGGAGACUGUCAGUCGAUAAGCCGGCGGAAGUUCGGGAUGACGUCAUAGUCCUCAUGGCCUUUAUGUCCCGGGCUACACACGUGAUACAAUGGAUGGAACAGAGGGCAGCAAGCCUGCGAAGGCAAGCGAAUCCCUAGAAUCCAUUCUCAGUUCAGAUUGCAGUCUGCAACUCGACUGCAUGAAGUUGGAAUCGCUAGUAA